rnacentral:rRNA from 1 species
AUUGAACGCUGGCGGAAUGCUUUACACAUGCAAGUCGAACGGCAGCACGGACUUCGGUCUGGUGGCGAGUGGCGAACGGGUGAGUAAUAUAUCGGAACGUGCCCAGUCGUGGGGGAUAACGUAGUGAAAAUUACGCUAAUACCGCAUACGAUCUAUGGAUGAAAGCGGGGGAUCGCAAGACCUCGCGCGAUUGGAGCGGCCGAUAUCAGAUUAGGUAGUUGGUGAGGUAAAGGCUCACCAAGCCGACGAUCUGUAGCUGGUCUGAGAGGACGACCAGCCACACUGGAACUGAGACACGGUCCAGAAUACUACGGGAGGCAGCAGUGGGGAAUUUUGGACAAUGGACGCAAGUCUGAUCCAGCCAUUCCGCGUGCAGGACGAAGGCCUGCGGGUUGUAAACUGCUUUUGUACAGAACGAAAAGGUCUCUAUUAAUACUAGGGGCUCAUGACGGUACUGUAAGAAUAAGCACCGGCUAACUACGUGCCAGCCGCCGCGGUAACAC